rnacentral:rRNA from 1 species
AACGAACGCUGGCGGCGCGUUUUAAGCAUGCAAGUCGAACGGCAAGCGCUGUAGCAAUAUGGCGCUGAGAGUGGCGAACGGGUGAGUAACACGUAGGUGAUCUGCCUUCGGAUGGGGGAUAGCCCAUGGAAACAUGGGGUAAUACCGCAUGAGGCCGCGGGAGUAAAGGCCCGUGGUGAAAGGUGCAAUUGCACCGUCUGGAGAUGAGCCUGCGGUCCAUUAGCUAGUUGGUGGGGUAACGGCCUACCAAGGCGACGAUGGAUAGCCGGCCUGAGAGGGUGUACGGCCACACUGGAACUGAGACACGGUCCAGACUCCUACGGGAGGUAGCAGCUAAGAAUCUUCCGCAAUGGGGGAAACCCUGACGGAGCGACGCCGCGUGGAUGAUGAAGGCCGUAAGGUUGUAAAAUCCUUUUGCAGGUGAAGAAUAACUGGAGGAGUGGAAAGCCUCUGGGAUGACGUUAGCCUGCGAAUAAGCCCCGGCCAAUUACGUGCCAGCAGCCGCGGUAACAC